rnacentral:rRNA from 1 species
GACGAACGCUGGCGGCGUGCUUAACACAUGCAAGUCGAACGGAAAGGCCCGGCUUUUGUGGGGUGCUCGAGUGGCGAACGGGUGAGUAACACGUGAGUAACCUGCCCUUAACUGUGUGAGAACUUCAGGAAACUGGGGCUAAUAUCGGAUAGGAGCUCCUGCUGCAUGGGGGGGGUUGGAAAGUUUCGGCGGUUGGGGAUGGACUCGCGGCUUAUCAGCUGGUUGGUGGGGUAGUGGCUUACCAAGUCUUUGACGGGUAGCCUGCAUGGGAGGGUGGACGGCCACCAUAGGACUGCGGUAGGGACCAGUCUCCUAUCGGAGGCAGUAGUGGGGAAUAUGGCAGAAUGGGGGGAAGUGAGAUGCAGCAAUGUCGCGUGCGGAAUGACGGCUUUCGGGUUGUGAACAGCUUUCGAAUGUGACGAAGAGUGAGUGACGGUAAUGGGUAAAGAAGCACCGGCUAACUACGUG